rnacentral:pre_miRNA from 1 species
UGAGACCUCUGGGUUCUGAGCUGUGAUGUUGCUCUCGAGCUGGGAUCUCCGGGGUCUUGGUU